CUCGCCGACCCCAUCAGCUUCAGCCUCGAGUACUACAGCCAUGGUGGCGAGGAGACCGCACUGCCUCCAAAACGGUUCUUCCAAGCGCCGGCCAGCCUCAGCGUGGGUCACCUGCGGAAGCUGCUGACCAUGAAGCACGGCCUGGCCACAUCAGCCCAGCUGGACAUCUUAUACGGCGGGGAUGUUCUACGGGAUGAACUCAUGAUCCUGGACGUGGCCUGCAUGUACAGCUGGGAACGGACGGGCCCGAUGACGUUUUUCUACCGCUGGACGAGGAAGCGGGCCGCGCCGGCCGCUGCGCCGCCGCCGCCCAAGCGCCGGAAAAACGGGCGGCC